rnacentral:misc_RNA from 1 species
GUGCCCAAUACAAAGUUAAAAGAUGGUGAUGUGGUUGAGAUCAGAAUGUAGAUAUGUUCCUCUAUGUCCAAUCGUGCACGGUCUGUACAGCAUGUAUAGUCAUUGCAAUUCUGGGAAGACGCUCCCAACAGAAUGAAGUUGUAUGUCCUGGGUCAAGAGUAAUUCAGUUACUUGCUGCUGAGCAAAGUCCAUUUGUUGUUAAUAGUUA